GACGAACGCUGGCGGCGUGCUUAACACAUGCAAGUCGAACGGAAAGGCCCAGCUUGCUGGGUGCUCGAGUGGCGAACGGGUGAGUAACACGUGGGUGAUCUGCCCCUAACUUCGGGAUAAGCUUGGGAAACUGGGUCUAAUACCGGAUAGGACAAUCGUUUAGUGUCGGUUGUGGAAAGUUUUUUCGGUUAGGGAUGAGCCCGCGGCCUAUCAGCUUGUUGGUGGGGUAAUGGCCUACCAAGGCGUCGACGGGUAGCCGGCCUGAGAGGGUGGACGGCCACAUUGGGACUGAGAUACGGCCCAGACUCCUACGGGAGGCAGCAGUGGGGAAUAUUGCACAAUGGGCGCAAGCCUGAUGCAGCGAAGCAGCGUGGGGGAUGACGGCCUUCGGGUUGUAAACCUCUUUCGACAGGGACGAAGCUUUGGUGACGGUACCUGUAUAAGAAGCACCGGCUAACUACGUG
rnacentral:rRNA from 1 species